AGCUCUUCAAUUCUAUCCAAACAAAACAGGGUCCACUAGACUUGAUUUCUUGUGGGUAUUGCCCAAGGAUCAGUGGGUAAAGGUAGUGUGUAUGUGAAUGUUGAUGCUUGUUGGAGGCUUGUUGGUGAUCAAGCUUGGUUUGGGGCUGUUUGUUUGAAUUUGGAGGGGCUGUAAUUUUGAGUU